AGCUUUGAGCAGUGGGAGUAUCAUAGCCAAUGAGGGUUAUCUGAGGCACGAUUAUUGCUAAUUGAAAACUUAAUUAUUCACUAAAGAUCUAGCACUUGAAUAUAUUUGAUCUGUUAGGAAUUAUUUGGAUUUUUAUCUUGAA